rnacentral:rRNA from 1 species
UAGUCCCUACGGGGGGCAGCAGUAGGGAAUCUUCCACAAUGGACGAAAGUCUGAUGGAGCAACGCCGCGUGAGUGAAGAAGGGUUUCGGCUCGUAAAGCUCUGUUGGUAGUGAAGAAAGAUAGAGGUAGUAACUGGCCUUUAUUUGACGGUAAUUACUUAGAAAGUCACGGCUAACUACGUGCCAGCAGCCGCGGUAAUACGUAGGUGGCAAGCGUUGUCCGGAUUUAUUGGGCGUGAAGCGAGUGCAGGCGGUGCAAUAAGGCUGAUGUGAAA